rnacentral:lncRNA from 1 species
UCCUUGAGAAGGGGGAGGUUCUGGUAGGGAAGGAUCCUGUCAUAGAGUUGUGGGGAUGGCCAGCAGACAAUCCCCAUUUAUGGUUUCUUUCUGGAUUCUGCAGCAGCCCUGGUGUAUCGCUGUGCUGACAGACCUCCUCGUGGUGACCAAAGUUUGUUUCAGUAGCCUAGAGGAGAGUGGGCAAAAAUACAGACUGCAGACCAUCCAGGAGAGUGCUGACUGCUUCCUGGCCCUGCUGCCGGAGCUGCUAGCUGUGCCAGUCGACAGUGAGAUGAGACUCUGCCAGCAAAGCCUCCUGGUAAGAGUGCCCCCAUCUCCCUCCUCCACACCCUCUGCCCUCAGGGACAGAAGUUAUGGGGUUGUCAGUGUAUGUUGGGGGAAUACAGCCUGAGCACCCUGCUCCUAACUAUGGGGUCUGAUGCGUUCUUGUCAGGGCAAGCUGUCUCACCCACUGGGGUUUUAGCAGGGAAUUGCAUACAAAAAUAAGGUCUCUGAGGGAGCACCUUUGCUGGCCUUAACAUUCUAGUGUGGCUUUACUGGCUGAGCUGAUGGCAGAUGCAGCCCCUUGUACACACUCUGGCACAAAAAGUGUCAUUUCACCAGACAUAUCCCUGGCUCUGCUGCCAAGAGUUCUGCUGCUGGGAUUGUGCUGGGUGGGCACAGCGGGGUCUCAGCACUGGAGUAUGAUUCACAUGUGGCUUGGUCAGGAGAUGCAUACAGGCAUUUGAUAUCUUCUAGCCUUUGUUUUCAAGCUGCAUGUUUUAGUGCCAGAGUCAGUAAGAGCAAAAGUAGCUGUUGGGCAUGCUCUGCCAGGCUGUGAUAGAGAUGAGGAGGGACAUGUGCCUCCAUGUGUACCCCUCACUUCAUGCAGCCAGAUGUCGAUCCCAUACAGAAACCUGUCUGGAGUGGACAGAGUUCCCUGAAGUUCCAGCAUGAAUUCUUCUCCCAUCUCUGCUGUCUUCCCACAGCUUCCUCCUGUGCUGUCCUUUUCUUUCCUCUCAAACUCAGUCUGCAGUGAUGGCAACCCCUGUGUCUUCCCCAGUGCUUUACCCAGCUCUGUGAGAGCCUGGACAUGACAGACACCUCUAUCUCUGCACACUUCUACACCAAACUGCAAGACGAGCAUCAGCCCCUGCUGAACAGACUCCUUCAAGGAUCCAUCUCAGAGCAGCCUGCUCUUCGAGGUAGCAGUGGUAGCAGCUCGCCACCUCUUCCUGGGGUUUCUUCUCCUUCCUGCCCUUGGGCUCCAUCAGAGCUCUAAUGGCCAUUGUAGUGCUGCUGGCCAGGAGAGGCUGAAACUUACCUGUCCAGACCCCUGCUAAUUUAGGCUCUCUUCCCUCAAUCCCAGAUUGCACCCUCCUUAUGUCACAAGCCUGAAUUUUUCUCUCUUG